rnacentral:lncRNA from 1 species
UUAAUUACCUCCCAUUCCCCCAGCGUGAUUAAUUUGGAAUAAUCCAUGCAUGAUUCAAAUAUAUAUCAAAGGCGGUGACACGCCAACGUAUUUUAAUCUUAUGUCCUAUGCAACUAUUUCUUCAUUUAUAGCUAUUGGCUUACUGCGGUACUAUGUAAAAGUGGUCGGAGUGGAAAGAGAAAGCUGAAAAUCUGUGGAGCUCCACCAAUAUUGCUAUAUUUUUUUUCCAUGCAUUGCUUACAAAUAUUUGCACAUCAAACGUGAUUCAGUCACAAAUAGUAGUUUACAUUUUUUCUAUACAGAGCUCCCUAAAAAUGGACGAGAGAGAAAGAGAGAAUUGAAAGCCUAAUUAACCUUUUGAACCAAAAUGGAAAUGAUGAUGAGCUGAGUUUGUCCUCAUUUCCAUGAAUAGUUGGCAAUAACACAAGGACACCAUUGCUUCGCGCAAGUCUCAGCCAAGGGGUUGCAGUCAACCAGUUCAAUAACUAUAACAGAUGAUGCUUCAACCUUCUCAUCAUUAGAUG